UUCGGGUUGUAAAGUACUUUCAGUCAGUGAGGAAGGUGGGUAUGUUAAUAGCAUACUCAUUUGACGUUUAGCUGCAGAAGUAAGCACCGGCUAACUCCGUGCCAGCAGCCGCGGUAAUACGGAGGGUGCGAGCGUUAAUCGGAAUUACUGGGCGUAAAGCGCAUGCAGGUGGUUUGUUAAGUCAGAUGUGAAAGCCCGGGGCUCAACCUCGGAAUUGCAUUUGAAACUGGCAAACUAGAGUACUGUAGAGGGGGUAGAAUUUCAGGUGUAGCGGUGAAAUGCGUAGAGAUCUGAAGGAAUACCGGUGGCGAAGGCGGCCCCCUGGACAGAUACUGACACUCAGAUGCGAAAGCGUGGGGAGCAAACAGGAUUAGAUACCCUGGUAG
rnacentral:rRNA from 1 species